AGGACGAACGCUGGCGGCGUGCUUAACACAUGCAAGUCAAGGGGGCCCAGCAAUGGGCAACCGGCGAACGGGUGCGUAACACGUGAGCAACCUACCGAAAUGUGGGGGAUAGCCGGCCUAACGGCCGAGUAAUACCGCAUACGCUCUCGAUGAGGCAUUUCAUUGAGAGGAAACCUACGGGACAUUUCGAGGGCUCGCGGCCUAUCAGCUAGUUGGCGAGGUAACGCUCACCAAGGCAACGACGGGUA
rnacentral:rRNA from 1 species